rnacentral:rRNA from 1 species
UACGUAGGGUGCAAGCGUUGUCCGGAAUUAUUGGGCGUAAAGAGCUCGUAGGCGGUCUGUCGCGUCGGCUGCGAAAACUCGGGGCUCAACUCCGAGCUUGCAGUCGAUACGGGCAGGCUAGAGUGCGGCAGGGGAGACUGGAAUUCCUGGUGUAGCGGUGAAAUGCGCAGAUAUCAGGAGGAACACCGGUGGCGAAGGCGGGUCUCUGGGCCGAUACUGACGCUGAGGAGCGAAAGCGUGGGGAGCAAACAGG